rnacentral:rRNA from 1 species
AACGAACGCUGGCGGCAUGCCUAACACAUGCAAGUCGAACGAGACCUUCGGGUCUAGUGGCGCACGGGUGCGUAACGCGUGGGAACCUGCCCUUAGGUUCGGAAUAACUCCCCGAAAGGGGUGCUAAUACCGGAUAAUGUCUUCGGACCAAAGAUUUAUCGCCUUUGGAUGGGCCCGCGUUGGAUUAGCUAGUUGGUAGGGUAAAAGCCUACCAAGGCGACGAUCCAUAGCUGGUCUGAGAGGAUGAUCAGCCACACUGGGACUGAGACACGGCCCAGACUCCUACGGGAGGCAGCAGUGGGGAAUAUUGGACGAGGGGCGAAAGCCUGAUCCAGCAAUGCGGCGUGAGUGAUGAAGGCCUUAGGGUUGUAAAGCUCUUUUACCCGGGAUGAUAAUGACAGUACCGGGAGAAUAAGCUCCGGCUAACUCCGUG